GGCACUGUCUCUUCCUCCCCCCACCCUCGCCCCCAAAUUAAGAUUUCCCGUUUUACGCCGCAAUGAUAAAUAUAAUUAUAAGCCUCUUUGGACACUGUCCUUUACCCCACCCCCCCUCGCCACUUUGACAAUAUUUACUUAAGUAUUUCCCCCCACCUCACUCACACACAUGCUCCCCCACACUGGUUCCCUUAAAUAGUUCCAGUAGAAUUUUUUUUUUCCCUUAAGAAAGGAAAGAGAAAGUCCAACCACUACGGCAAUACUUUUAAGCUCUACUAAAUGAUCGUAUCCUUUCUGGCUUCGAAACUUUUGUACCUAAAAAUCGAGAGAGGCGCUGCAUUUUUUCAGUUGAAACUGUCAAAACUUGGAGAAGGGGGACCUCGGAGGCAGGCAGGAGAGGAGGAGAAUCCUGAAAACUCGGUGGAGGUUGGGAAGAUGCUGUGCCUCGAGGAUUAGUUUAAACAGGGGGCUAUAAAAGAUGUAACAGAUGCAAACUGUAACACAAGGGCCAUUAACCCUUUCUCUGCCGGGCACACUCAGUCCCCACGCCCCACACCUAUUGUCUCCUGUGCUAGAAGCUUUGCAGAAAACCUGGAAAUUUUGGCCAGAAAUGGUGAGAAGAAAAAGCAUGAAGAAGCCGCGAAGUGUGGGGGAGAAAAAGGUGGAAGCGAAGAAACAGCUCCCGGAGCAAACUGUACAAAAACCUCGCCAAGAGUGUCGGGAGGCAGGACCGUUAUUCCUGCAGAGCAGGAGAGAGACGAGAGACCCUGAAACACGCGCCACCUAUCUUUGUGGGGAGGGAUAAUUGAAGCGCCCUGAGCGUGAGCAUCAUGUGAAAACGUGAUCGCCAAGUUUCUCUCUGGGAAAGGAUCUGGGAUAGAUUAUACCUUGAAGUCUCCGCAAACGCUUUAGUGGAAGAAAUGAAAUUCCACCUCCCUCCCUUCCUCCUCUCCCUCCCUUUCGCCUUCGCCUCCCUCCCCCCUCCCUCCCUUCUCCCCCCCUCCACCCCCCCCUCCCCGCCCGUCAAGCCUUUGGCAUCAUUAUCCUCAUCACUAAAUCCUACAGAGUACAGGGCGGAAAACGGUGCACACCAUUCACAGAACUGGAGAACUCCAAGGGGCGAAAGUUAAAGGGAAAGAUCCCGGGUCCUCAAUCCAGAUAGUCUCUUCUUAUACAGAUAUCUCUAAUGACCAGAUUUGAGAUGCACAUCAAAUUGUGUAGGUAUCUCAGUACAGCUUCUGGAACAAAGUUCUCUGCCCUUUCUCUUAUUGUUAUUUUUUUCUUUUUAGGUACCAGAGCCAGAAAAAAAAAUGCUGCAUGGGAGCUGCAUCUUAGGGCAUGUGUAUUAGGGUGUGUGCAUGAUGAAUUUCUGGACUGGAUCCCAAUAUUAAAAAGUAGUUUGGCAUUUUAAUAAAGGGUCUCUAAGUAAAUUAAAAUAGAACACUCGGUUGGCCGAUCUCUGAAUCUCUCUACACCUCGGGGAGACCUCACUACAAAGUAAGGGAGAGUGUGUAGGGAGGCAGGAGGAGAAACGAGAAAGGCCAUAGAGAAACUUAGCAGGGAAGGGAGAGCAUGAUAUUAAACGGCAUGGGGUCUAAGUUUUGGAGUAUAUAUUUUUUGAUAUUACAAUUAAAGUAAGAUUAAAAA
ensembl:lncRNA ZEB2-AS1 ZEB2 antisense RNA 1